rnacentral:tRNA from 1 species
GGAAGUAGCUCAGUGGCAGAGCACAUGCCUAGCAUGCAUGGGUCUGGGGUUCAAUCCCCCAUACCUCCA